rnacentral:lncRNA from 1 species
CAGGGUCUCACUAAGUUGCCCAGGCUGGCCUCGAACUCACAAUCCUCCCAUGUAGCCUCACAAGUGACUGGGAUUAUAGCCAUGUACCACUGCGCCCAGCUGGGUAAAUUAAAAAUUUGUUGGGAUUAUUUUAGGUAAAAAAAAAUAUAUAUUUUGGUAUAGAAAUAAAGAACUAAACGUACAGUGUAAAACUGCAGGUCAUCAGGGCAUGCUAGUUCUACCUAGAAUGUUACCAUAAUUGCGCAAGGACUGGAGGUGGGGCUCAGUAGGAGCUUGCUUAUUACCACAUGUGAGGCCCUGGGUUUGAGUCCCAGGACUCCAAAAAGAAUUAAAAAAAAAAAAAUCAAACUGACAAAUUCAAGAUUGAGAUUUUCCUUGUUUAAAAGGGUGUUGGGCUGGGGUUGUGGCUCAGCGAUAGAGUGUUCGAGGCCCUGGGUUCGAUCCUCAGCACCACAUAAAAAUAAAUAAAUAAAAGGGUGUGAAUUAGGACUUCGGAAAAACUGAAAAUGCCCAUGUUGACUUCUGGAAAGAGCUUUCAGUUCUUGUUUCUUUGCUUCAGUUGAGAGCCUGCCAUGGAUGCUGCCCUAUCAGGAAGGUCUGGGGUGGGGUUUCAGAUCUCUUAGCUGUCUCAGUUGGGUGAAGGGAUCCAUGCAUUUGUCUGUGUGAGUCUGAAACUACAACCCUGAAGAGAAGCCAGGAGGUGGCAGAGAAGGACUUUGCUUCCAGGCAUUGGUGUUGUCCUUGGGAGCAGGGUGGUCCUGGG